rnacentral:ribozyme from 14 species
GAUUAUUUUUAUUUAUAUAUAUAUAUAUAUAUAUUAAAAAAUAAAAAAAUAAAAUGAAGUGUUGGAUUUGAUAAACAGUGAGGCCACUUGCAUCAUCAGAAAGUGUAAAAUGCCCAAGAGGCGAGGCAUAUCCAGUACAAAGAUCUGACGCGGACAGGAUUAUUUA